rnacentral:rRNA from 1 species
GCAAGUCGAACGCAGUAGCAAUACUGAGUGGCAAACGGGUGAGUAUAAUGUGGGAAUCUGCCUUUUGGUUUGGAAUAACACGGGGAAACUUGUGCUAAUACCGAAUAAGCCUUUACAGGGAAAGUUUUAAUGCCGAAAGAUGAGCCCGCACUUGAUUAGCUAGUUGGUAAGGUAAAAGCUUACCAAGGCAAUGAUCAAUAGCUGUUCUUAGAGGAAGACCAGCCACAUUGGGACUGAGACACGGCCCAGACUCCUACGGGAGGCAGCAGUGGGGAAUCUUGCACAAUGGGGGAAACCCUGAUGCAGCGAUGCCGCGUGAGUGAAGAAGGCCUUUGGGUUGUAAAACUCUUUCGUCGGGGAAGAAAAUGACUGUACCCGAAUAAGAAGGUCCGGCUAACUUCGUGCCAGCAGCCGCGGUAAUACGAAGGGACCUAGCGUAGUUCGGAAUUACUGGGCUUAAAGAGCUCGUAGGUGGUUAAAAAAGUUGAUGGUGAAAUCCCAAGGCUCAACCUUGGAACUGCCAUCAAAACUUUUUAGCUAGAGUGUGAUAGAGGUAAGUGGAAUUUCUAGUGUAGAGGUGAAAUUCGUAGAUAUUAGAAAGAACACCAAAUGCGAAGGCAACUUACUGGGUCACUACUGACACUGAGGAGCGAAAGCAUGGGUAGCGAAGAGGAUUAGAUACCCUCGUAGUCCAUGCCGUAAACGAUGUGUGCUAGACGUUGGAAAUAUAUUUUUCAGUGUCGCAGCGAAAGCAUUAAGCACACCGCCUGGGGAGUACGACCGCAAGGUUAAAACUCAAAUGAAUUGACGGGGACCCGCACAAGCA